rnacentral:rRNA from 1 species
CCUACGGGAGGCAGCAGUAAGGAAUAUUGGUCAAUGGGCGCAAGCCUGAACCAGCCAUGCCGCGUGCAGGAAGACGGCCCUACGGGUUGUAAACUGCUUUUGUACCGGAAUAAACCUUUUCACGAGUGAGAAGCUGAAUGUACGGUAAGAAUAAGGAUCGGCUAACUCCGUGCCAGCAGCCGCGGUAAUACGGAGGAUCCAAGCGUUAUCCGGAUUUAUUGGGUUUAAAGGGUGCGUAGGCGGUUCUUUAAGUCAGGGGUGAAAGACGGUAGCUUAACUAUCGCAGUGCCUUUGAUACUGAAGAACUUGAAUACACUUGAGGUAGGCGGAAUGUGACAAGUAGCGGUGAAAUGCAUAGAUAUGUCACAGAACACCAAUUGCGAAGGCAGCUUACUAAAGUGUCAUUGACGCUGAGGCACGAAAGCGUGGGGAUCAAACAGGAUUAGAUACCCUGGUAGUCCACGCCCUAAACGAUGAAUACUCGAUGUUGGCGAUAUACGGUCAGCGUCUAAGCGAAAGCGUUAAGUAUUCCACCUGGGGAGUACGCCGCAAGGGUGAAACUCAAAUUGAAUUGAGGCUUGAGACGNGCGAGACGACGACGAGGAGAGG